rnacentral:lncRNA from 1 species
GUCCAUUGUCCAUUGUCGAAGAAGUGUGUUCACUGAACUCCUCCUCAAGCUUUUUCUCGAAACAACAAUGGCGACGACGGUUACACUCAAAUCCUUCACCGGGCUUCGUCAAUCAUCAACGGAGCAAACAAACUUCGUCUCCCAUGUACCGUCGUCACUUUCUCUCCCCCAGCGACGGAGCUCUCUCCGAGUAACCGCAUCCAGAGCCACUCCCAAACUCUCCAACCGUAAGCUCCGUGUCGCCGUCAUCGGUGGUGGUCCGGCAGGUGGAGCAGCUGCAGAGACUCUAGCUCAAGGAGGAAUCGAGACGAUUCUCAUCGAGCGUAAGAUGGACAAUUGCAAGCCUUGCGGUGGCGCGAUUCCUCUCUGUAUGGUCGGAGAAUUCAAUUUGCCGUUGGACAUUAUCGACCGGAGAGUGACGAAGAUGAAGAUGAUUUCGCCGUCGAACAUCGCUGUUGAUAUUGGUCGUACGCUUAAGGAGCAUGAGUAUAUAGGUAUGGUGAGAAGAGAAGUGCUUGAUGCGUAUCUGAGAGAGAGAGCUGAGAAGAGUGGAGCCACCGUGAUUAACGGUCUCUUCCUUAAGAUGGAUCAUCCGGAGAACUGGGACUCGCCGUACACUUUGCAUUACACUGAGUACGAUGGUAAAACUGGAGCUACAGGGACGAAGAAGACAAUGGAGGUUGAUGCUGUGAUUGGAGCUGAUGGAGCUAACUCUAGGGUUGCUAAAUCUAUUGAUGCUGGUGAUUACGACUACGCAAUCGCAUUUCAGGUCAAAUUUCUUAUUCUUGAGUUUAAAUUUGUUCUAUAGUUUAUGGAAUUUAUGGAACUGUGUUUAGUGAUUUGAGAAUUCAUGUUCUUAUGGAGUUUAAUGGUGAAAUUUGGAAAAUUGCAGGAGAGAAUUAGGAUUCCUGAUGAGAAAAUGACUUACUAUGAGGAUUUAGCUGAGAUGUAUGUUGGGGAUGAUGUGUCGCCGGAUUUCUAUGGUUGGGUGUUCCCUAAGUGCGACCAUGUAGCUGUUGGAACAGGUACUGUGACUCACAAAGGUGACAUCAAGAAGUUCCAGCUCGCGACUCGUAACAGAGCCAAAGACAAGAUUCUUGGAGGCAAGAUCAUCCGUGUUGAGGCUCACCCGAUUCCCGAACACCCGAGACCACGUAGGCUCUCGAAAAGAGUGGCUCUUGUAGGUGAUGCUGCAGGGUAUGUGACUAAAUGCUCUGGUGAAGGGAUCUACUUUGCUGCUAAGAGUGGAAGAAUGUGUGCUGAAGCCAUUGUUGAAGGUUCACAGAAUGGUAAGUACACAAAAAAACGCCCUUUUCAGAUUCCUGCGUUUUAAGUUUUAGUGAAUCCUAAAGUCUGAGUGUUUUUGUUGCAACAGGUAAGAAGAUGAUUGACGAAGGGGACUUGAGGAAGUACUUGGAGAAAUGGGAUAAGACAUACUUGCCUACGUACAGGGUGCUUGAUGUGUUACAGAAAGUGUUUUACAGAUCGAAUCCGGCAAGAGAAGCGUUUGUGGAGAUGUGUGCUGAUGAGUAUGUUCAGAAGAUGACAUUUGAUAGUUAUCUGUACAAGCGGGUUGCGCCGGGUAGUCCUUUG